rnacentral:snoRNA from 1 species
CCCCUCCAGAUUCCUUACCCUUCUGAUCUAAACAUUGGUCUGUGAGGCUUUAAAAGGAGGAAAAGAAAAACAGAAAUGGAGUUCUUUGGAGAUACAGCAGUUGGUUUCAAAUAAUAAAAGA